UUGGCAGAGUGGUUAAAGCAUUUGGCUGGUAACCAAAAAGUGGGUGGUUCAAACCUGCCA
rnacentral:tRNA from 1 species